GACGAACGCUGGCGGCGUGCUUAACACAUGCAAGUCGAACGGUAAGGCCCUUCGGGGUACACGAGUGGCGAACGGGUGAGUAACACGUGGUGAUCUGCCCCGCACUUCGGGAUAAGCUUGGGAAACUGGGUCUAACACCGGAUAGGACCACGGUCUGCAUGGAUUGUGGUGGAAAGCUUUUGCGGUGUGGGAUGGGCCCGCGGCCUAUCAGCUUGUUGGUGGGGUGAUGGCCUACCAAGGCGACGACGGGUAGCCGGCCUGAGAGGGUGUCCGGCCACACUGGGACUGAGAUACGGCCCAGACUCCUACGGGAGGCAGCAGUGGGGAAUAUUGCACAAUGGGCGCAAGCCUGAUGCAGCGACGCCGCGUGGGGGAUGACGGCCUCGGGUUGUAACCUCUUUCAGCAGGGACGAAGGGUGAC
rnacentral:rRNA from 1 species